rnacentral:rRNA from 1 species
CCCCGGGAGGGGAGUGAAAGAGAACCUGAAACCGUGUGCCUACAAGUAGUCAGAGCCCGUUAACGGGUGAUGGCGUGCCUUUUGUAGAAUGAACCGGCGAGUUACGAUUACGUGCAAGGUUAAGCAGAAGAUGCGGAGCCGCAGCGAAAGCGAGUCUGAAUAGGGCGUUUUGAGUACGUGGUCGUAGACCCGAAACCAGGUGAUCUACCCAUGUCCAGGGUGAAGGUGAGGUAACACUCACUGGAGGCCCGAACCCACGCACGUUGAAAAGUGCGGGGAUGAGGUGUGGGUAGCGGAGAAAUUCCAAUCGAACUUGGAGAUAGCUGGUUCUCUCCGAAAUAGCUUUAGGGCUAGCCUCGUGUGAAGAAUACUGGAGGUAGAGCACUGUUUGGACUAGGGGCCCACCUCGGGUUACCGAAUUCAGACAAACUCCGAAUGCCAGCUAUUUAUACACGGGAGUCAGACUACGAGUGAUAAGAUCCGUGGUCAAAAGGGAAACAGCCCAGACCACCAGCUAAGGUCCCAAAGUAAUCGUUAAGUGGAAAAGGAUGUGGCAAGCCCUGAUGAGCCGCAGUGAAUAGGCCCAGGCGACUGUUUAGCAAAAACACAGGUCUCUGCAAAACCGUAAGGUGAAGUAUAGGGGCUGACGCCUGCCCGGUGCUGGAAGGUUAAGAGGAGGAGUUAGCGCAAGCGAAGCUCCGAAUUGAAGCCCCAGUAAACGGCGGCCGUAACUAUAACGGUCCUAAGGUAGCGAAAUUCCUUGUCGGGUAAGUUCCGACCCGCACGAAAGGCGUAACGAUCUGGGCACUGUCUCAACGAGAGACUCGGUGAAAUUAUAGUACCUGUGAAGAUGCAGGUUACCCGCGACAGGACGGAAAGACCCCGUGGAGCUUUACUGUAACCUGAUAUUGAAUUUCGGUGCAACUUGUACAGGAUAGGUAGGAGCCGUAGAAGGGGGAGCGCCAGCUUCCCUGGAGGCGCCCUUGGGAUACUACCCUGGUUGUACUGAAAUUCUAACCCGCAAGCCU